rnacentral:misc_RNA from 1 species
CACACCUUGCGCUCUGCGCAGUGUUGGGUGUAGCCUUCAGGGGCUCACCUCAAAUCCAGUGGCAGCACCUCAGAGCUCCUACGCGCAGUGAUCACCGCCGCCGGUGGAGUCCUGUGAGUGCUAGCUAGUCAACCCCCCACUUUCUA